rnacentral:rRNA from 1 species
AAAAACUCCGGUGGUAUAAGAUGGAUCCGCGCCUGAUUAGCUAGUUGGCGGGGCAGCGGCCCACCAAGGCGACGAUCAGUAGCCGGCCUGAGAGGGCGACCGGCCACAUUGGGACUGAGACACGGCCCAAACUCCUACGGGAGGCAGCAGUGGGGAAUAUUGCACAAUGGGGGGAACCCUGAUGCAGCGACGCCGCGUGAGUGAAGAAGUAUUUCGGUAUGUAAAGCUCUAUCAGCAGGGAAGAAGAUGACGGUACCUGACUAAGAAGCCCCGGCUAACUACGUGCCAGCAGCCGCGGUAAUACGUAGGGGGCAAGCGUUAUCCGGAUUUACUGGGUGUAAAGGGAGCGUAGACGGCAGGGCAAGUCUGGAGUGAAAGCCCGGGGCCCAACCCCGGGACUGCUUUGGAAACUGCCAUGCUGGAGUGCUGGAGAGGUAAGCGGAAUUCCUAGUGUAGCGGUGAAAUGCGUAGAUAUUAGGAGGAACACCAGUGGCGAAGGCGGCUUACUGGACAGUAACUGACGUUGAGGCUCGAAAGCGUGGGGAGCAAACAGGAUUAGAUACCCUGGUAGUCCACGCCGUAAACGAUGA